GACGAACGCUGGCGGCGUGCUUAACACAUGCAAGUCGAACAGUGGCGAACGGGCGAGUAACACGUGAGUAACCUGCCCUCCACUUUGGGAUAACUCCGAGAAAUCGGGGCUAAUACUGGAUAGGGGGGGAUGGGCUCGCGGGCUAUCAGUUUGUUGGUGAGGUAGUGGUCACCAAGGAGCGACGGGCACCCGGCCUGAGAGGGGGACCGGCCACACUGGGACUGAGGCACGGCCCAGACUCCUACGGGGGGCAGCGGUGGGGAAUAUUGCACAACGGGCGAAAGCCUGAUGCAGCGACGCCGCGUGGGGGAUGACGGCCUUCGGGUUGUAAACCUCUUUCAGCAAGGAAGCGGUACUUGCAGAAGAAGCGCCGGCUAACUACGUGCCAGCCGCCGCGGUAAUUC
rnacentral:rRNA from 1 species